UAUGUUUCCAACAAAAUAUAGCCCUGCGUUUUAAAUUCUUCGUUCUCUUAUUGGAGAAAAAUACAAUUUUAUUUUUUUUUUUUUAUUUUUAAACCCGAUUAAUGAGUCCGUUACGCACACGUUACUAAACACACACGGGCGCACGCGCACAUACACACAAGACAACGAGUGUACACAAUAUUUAAAUUGAUUUUUCGUUUAAUGAAAUACAUACUCCGGGUGCG